GCAGGCUGUGGCGAUGACAUGUGGUAUAUGGAGGGGACAAGGUGAUCAGGCCUUAACAGGAGUUGCAGGAAAAGCUGAUGGGAGCACGUGAGGGAAGGUCUUUGGUUAGAUGGGGUAAUUAGGUGUUAAAACUAGUAAUCAGUUUUUGCUGAUUAGGGGCCCAAGCCUUGUGGCCCGUUUUUGUUGUUGGACCAAAAUAUUUUGAUGCUUUUUUUUAAUCUGUUAACAAAAAAGAAGGACCCAGGUAAACCCCAAACCUCCCUUGUGACCCAACCCCCUCCCCUUGUUCCCUGAAACAAUCAUUGAUACACGUACAGGAGAAAGCAGAUUCAAAGAAACCCUCACGGUCUUGACCUCCGCCUAGCCCUGCAUGGUCGCCGACUGACAAAGGUCCUCGGCGCCGACGCCGUCCAAGGUCCCAAGCACCGCAGCUUCUUCCUCCAUCCUCGCCGCCUAACCCAGAUCCUCCAUCGUCACCGCCUGACCCAGUAACUCGGCAGGUCCUCGCCGGGUCUUCAUCUUUGCUGGCUUCUAGGCACGGACCCAGAAUGAAUAAGUUGAAGA